GGGAGACACAGAUGAAUCAUGAGCUCCGGAUGAGAUCACAAUGUAAAAUGCAGUCCUGUGCUUUCAGAAAACAAGAGAAGAACAGCUGAAGUUUUCUACAAUUAGGACCUAUGUAGAACGCCCUUUCAUAACAAUGAGACCAUACUCAUCGACUCCUGGUAGCACCUGGUAGCACUUCAAGAGGAAGAUGGGCUGCAAUUAGGCUCUUUAUGUAGUUUGCUAGCUAUUGGAAGGUGCCUUCUCUGAAACUAGCUUGCGUGAGAGAUACACAACACAUCUGGGUGUUGCACUACUCCAGGUCUCUGCAUCUUUGCUUGAUCAUAGCCAGUCCUU